UACGUAGGGUGCAAGCGUUGUCCGGAAUUAUUGGGCGUAAAGAGCUCGUAGGCGGUUUGUCGCGUCUGCUGUGAAAACUCGGGGCUUAACUCCGGGCCUGCAGUGGGUACGGGCAGACUAGAGUGCGGUAGGGGAGACUGGAAUUCCUGGUGUAGCGGUGAAAUGCGCAGAUAUCAGGAGGAACACCGGUGGCGAAGGCGAUCACCUGGGGUUGUUCUGACGCUGAGGAGCGAAAGCUAGGGGAGCAAACGGG
rnacentral:rRNA from 1 species